rnacentral:hammerhead_ribozyme from 1 species
AUCUAGCUGAUGAGUUCUAAAUAGGACGAAACGUGCGUCCUGGAU